CGUAGGGUCCGAGCGUUGUCCGGAAUUAUUGGGCGUAAAGGGCUCGUAGGCGGUCCGUUACGUCGGGAGUGAAAACUCGGAGCUCAACUCCGAGCCUGCUUCCGAUACGGGCAGACUAGAGGUAGGCAGGGGAGAGCGGAACUCCUGGUGUAGCGGUGGAAUGCGCAGAUAUCAGGAAGAACACCGGUGGCGAAGGCGGCUCUCUGGGCCUUACCUGACGCUGAGGAGCGAAAGCGUGGGUAGCGAACAGGAUUAGAUACCCUGGUAGUCCACGCCGUAAACGUUGGGCGCUAGGUGUGGGGGACAUUCCACGUCCUCCGUGCCGCAGCUAACGCAUUAAGCGCCCCGCCUGGGGAGUACGGCCGCAAGGCUA
rnacentral:rRNA from 1 species